UAGCUUGUGGAUGUACAGUUUUGUGAGGAGAAAUGCCAUUCACAUCGAAUCCUUUUAGUUCCUACUAGAAAUGGGUCAAUGCUUGGCUCACCUUGCACAGUAGAGUAGAAAGGUAAUCUUGGAAAGAAUGCUGUUCCUGACCAGGCAGCAUCCCGCGUGUGCUGUGCAACAACGCUGGGCUUGAGGGCGUAACGGCGGCAACCAUGUCUGCAAGGUUUCAAGACUGUGCGUUGUCUCUAUUGUCUGGCUGCUAUCAGUUGAGAGUGUGUGGGAGAGAGCUCUCGGAAACUGCCAAGUUUAUAGAUACGGUCGUUGCCCAAUGACUACUGCGAAAUAGUAAAGAAAGGCUGAGGCUUACCCCCUCCAUAAGCGCAUCCUUUGGAUCGUCUUCUAAGCUCGUCCGUGAUUUAGGCGGAACAUCAUGCUGCUCACCAGUCCAUAGCCACGUACGCAAUUGAGGAAACGUAGCCGAUGCUCUCUCGAUCAAGUGGCGACGGCGAAGCCCUGCUACCGUGUGGAAAUACAUCUCUCAAUGCUGUUUACAUCACCGCACGACCGCACCUCUUCCGACCAACUCCGGGCUACCAACAUCUAGACAUUCACCCACCGUACGACCCACUGCGCGCAGCUUUCGAUGCCGUCAGCCAGCGACAAUCCGAAAGACGAGAUCUAAGAAUGGAAGGUCGUGAAAGCUCUUUGUGAAGAGCAAUGGUUGUUGCGGAAUGCUCGAGCACAGCCAGAAGAACUGCGGACCGUAAAGAAAAUGAAAACAAGACUCGCACAAAUUCUGUGAUGUCAUAUGCACCACUUGUGACUUGCCUCGGUACCAGAAUAUCUGAAUGAAACUUUCCAGAAAACAUUCUUUUAUGCCUCGAGUAUGUCCCGUGCAAUCAAUAAACACAUAUUGUCACGAUUGUACGUACUGGGCGGGUUCCAGAACCACCUUUCUGCAUCCGUGGGCUGCUAGUAUAUCCCCUAUGCUUGUAAUUAAUCAGCAGCAUUAAGUUGAAACGAAGUCUAAGACCGUUUUGUAUCUGCUCUACUCAUUGCCUGCACCAUUGAUUCAGUGAUAUUCUUUAUGAACCUCGAAAUGCGUUCAAGUGAAUUAGGAAUACUUACGAAAACGUUUUGUGGCUAUAUAUAAAGGGCAAAGUGUCGCGUUGUUCACGAUUUUCUGUUGGUGCUUUAUGCUUAUGCAUGAAAAAGUA